GCGAAGUCUCCAUGGUUACGGCCACUGGGUGGUAAAUGGAUCGCUGCACUGAGAAGAAACAAGUGGACUCCAGGCACCAAAACCUGGUGUUGUUGUUCACAUUUCAUGUCAGGUUAGCCCACCAGUCCAGUUUGUGAUCCAGAUGUUGGCCCGGAUACUUACAGUUGCCUUCAUGAGGUGCAGAUGCAGGGAAGAUGACCUGAGAUUGGGAAACCACAUGUGAGGCGGCAGCAUGGAAGCGAGGAGUCUCAGCCUCCAGCCUGGACUGAUAAUAACUACGGUCGGCACUGUUUCAGCCAUUCAUUUGAUAAAGUGCUUUUCACCUUGCAGCU